GGGUGUAGGUCAGGUGGCAGAGUGCAUGCUUAGCAUGCAUGAGGUCCUGGGUUCAAUCCCCAGUACCUCCU
rnacentral:tRNA from 1 species